rnacentral:rRNA from 1 species
GGCAGACGGGUGCGUAACACGUAGGUGACCUGCCCUGAAGUGGGGAAUAAUCCCGCUAACGCGGGACUAAUACCGCAUGUGCUCGGCGAUUCAGUUUGUCGAGUAAAGGCGAAAGUCGCUUCGGGAUGGGCCUGCGGCGGAUUAGGUAGUUGGUGGGGUAAUGGCCUACCAAGCCGAUGAUCCGUAGGGGGCGUGAGAGCGUGGCCCCCCACACUGGCACUGAGAUACGGGCCAGACUCCUACGGGAGGCAGCAGUGAGGAAUAUUGCACAAUGGGCGAAAGCCUGAUGCAGCAACGCCGCGUGAGGGACGAAGGCCUUCGGGUCGUAAACCUCUUUUCUGGGGGACGAGACAAGGACGGUACCUCAGGAAUAAGUCUCGGCUAACUACGUGCCAGCAGCCGCGGUAAAACGUAGGAGGCGAGCGUUAUCCGGAUUUACUGGGCGUAAAGCGCACGCAGGUGGCUUCGUUAGUCGGACGUG